rnacentral:pre_miRNA from 1 species
AAGAUACUCCCUCCGUUCCAAAUUACAUGUCGCUGAAAUGGAUGUAUCUAGAAAAAAAUACAUCUAGAUACAUCCAUACGUGCGACAAGUAAUUCGGAACGGAGGGAGUAUAAG